AGCAGCCGCGGUAAUUCCAGCUCCAAUAGCGUAUAUUAAAGUUGUUGCAGUUAAAAAGCUCGUAGUUGAAUUUCGGGAUUGGCGCAUCGGUCGUGCCUCACGGGGUAUGAACUGGUGCAGUCAAUUUCUCACCUUCUGGAGAACCGCGAUGUCCUUAAUUGGAUGCCGCGGGGAACCAGGACCUUUACUUUGAAAAAAUUAGAGUGUUUAAAGCAGGCAUUUUUGCUUGAAUACAUUAGCAUGGAAUAAUAAAAUAGGACGGCAUGGUUCUAUUUUGUUGGUUUCUAGGACCACCGUAAUGAUUAAUAGGGAUAGUUGGGGGCAUUAGUAUUCAAUUGUCAGAGGUGAAAUUCUUGGAUUUAUUGAAGACUAACUACUGCGAAAGCAUUUGCCAAGGAUGUUUUCAUUAAUCAAGAACGAAAGUUAGGGGAUCGAAGACGAUCAGAUACCGUCGUAGUCUUAACCAUAAACUAUGCCGACUAGGAAUCAGACGAUGUUAAUUUUUUCAAUGACUC
rnacentral:misc_RNA from 1 species